UACGGAGGGGACUAGCGUUGUUCGGAAUUACUGGGCGUAAAGCGCACGUAGGCGGCUUUGUAAGUCAGGGGUGAAAUCCCGGGGCUCAACCUCGGAACUGCCUUUGAUACUGCAAAUCUCGAGUCCGGAAGAGGUGAGUGGAAUUCCUAGUGUAGAGGUGAAAUUCGUAGAUAUUAGGAAGAACACCAGUGGCGAAGGCGGCUCACUGGUCCGGUACUGACGCUGAGGUGCGAAAGCGUGGGGAGCGAACCGG
rnacentral:rRNA from 1 species